rnacentral:lncRNA from 1 species
AAAUGAAUGGAAAAGCAUUACAUGAGCACAGGUAGACUAUAAGCUUUCCACUUCAUGUUGAGAAGAAAAACACGAGUGAGGAUAUAGAAAAAAAUAUUCAAUGUGAAUAUCACUGGAAAUACAUCAGUUCUUUUAUUUUUAUGUGUGGUUACACAAGACUCUGCUUGAUUGACUGUGGUUAAACAUGAAGAAAAUCAAGCGAAGCAAUGGAGCAAAGAACAACGCAGGUGCUCUUUUCCUGAGGUUUUUGAAAUAGUGCACUAUGUGCAAAGCCAGUGAGCCGCACUUUGUGUUGGCUGGCUGGGGAAACAGGCUUAUUGUAAAAGCCUUGUUAUUGUCAUCUGACAUCUACAGAAAGUUUCAAAGAAUUCUGUUAUCAAAACUAGUGAGCAAGCUUAGGAGAAGCAAAAACGUAACAAAGCAACAGCAACAAAAAGUUAUAUUUGCAAGAGGCGGCUUGGUAUUGAUGGAUCUGUCCUACAUUGAAUUUUUUAAUAGUCCACAAACCCCCAGGGAAGCGGGACAUCUGUUGGAGUACUCUUUCAGUAGACAUCUCAAGUGGCCAGCUAACCUGCUGGGGAAUGGAUCAUCCUGCAGAGGGUGAAUCAUGAGCUCACAGAUGAAAGUCACCCAAGAUGACAUCCCAGAUACUAUUGGCAAACAUCAUACAUGCCGAAAUCAAAGAUGAAGCUGUCAAACAGUAAGAGUGGAUGCUGCAGGGAUAGACAGCAACAUCAUGUUAAAGAAAACGCUCUCAGAA